CGGGAUGUGGGCCAGCGGCUAGGCCGCCCGCUUUGGGAGCGGGACAUCUUCGCGGGUUCGAGUCCCGCCAUCCCGA
rnacentral:tRNA from 1 species